ACUAAAUAGAUACCCGGGUAGUCCACGCUGUAAACGAUGAGUGCUAGAUGCCGGAUUUUUUCGGUGGUCGCAGCUAAACGCAUUAAGCACUCCACCUGGGAAGUACGAUCGCAAGGUUGAAACUCAAAGGAAUUGACGGGGGCCCGGCACAAGCAGUGGAGGCAUGUGGUUUAAUUACGAUGCAACGCGAAGAACCUUACCUAGGCUUGAAAAGACUUAUGACCGGCUGUGAAAGCAGCUUUCCCGUCAAGGGCAUAAGUACAGGUGCUGCAUGGCUGUCGUCAGCUCGUGCCGUGAGGUGUUGGGUUAAGUCCCGCAACGAGCGCAACCCUUACCAUUAGUUGCCACCGGAGCAAUCCGAGCACUCUAAUGGAACUGCCUACGCAAGUAGUGAGGAAGGU
rnacentral:rRNA from 1 species